CAGCCCUGUAGGAGACACCUCCAGAGAAAGUAACAGCUCUCAAUUGAUUAGCUGAGGAGACCGAUUUUGUAAAUCACUACUUUUCUAACAACACUGGCACAGAUGGCCAAGCAUUCUCCCUUUUCUCAGAGCUGGUUUUCCAUCCCGGAAAGAGGACUUACAUAUACAAAGUUACUCUAAUCAGUUGUGAGCAGGGUCAUAUAAAUUGUUAUUUAUUCAAAUUGUGGAAUAUUAUAAAGCAGUGAAAAACAAGUUAACUAUAACCAGAUGGAAUAACUUUGAAGCCUCAGGGGCUGGAUCCUGACAUGAACCAGACACCUCCAGAAUUCUAUCCCAAGCAAAAGAUUAUUUCAAGGCCAGAACUCACUCCCUGCUGGAGACUGACUACAAGAUCCACUGAGAUUGAUUUGUAACCUGAUUGGGCCCACAGUGAUGCUAGCCCCUUCACCAGAUGGAACAAUAAUUCCAGACAAGCCAUCAGAGCAGAGAGCAGAGGAGAGGAGAAGCAGCUGGAUGUCAGAGACUGCAGUUUGACGUUGGAGAAAAGCAGCUUGACUUCAGAGGGACAGCUUGACAGCAUGGAUUCAGAGAGGAGAAGAUCACCUUCCUGCUCCGCCCCCUUUCCAGCUCCCUUUCCCACUGAGAGCCACUUACACAGGCAAUAAAAUCCUCUGCAUUCACCACCCU
rnacentral:lncRNA from 1 species